CAGAGUGAGGGAGCGGGUGACACAGUGACAGAGUUAGGGAGGGAGUGACUAGUGACAGAGAGAGGGAUGGGGUGACUAGUGACAGUCACCCCCCCUCACUCUGUCACUAGUCACCCCUUCCCUCCCUCACUUUGCCACUAGUCAUCUCUUCCCUCCCUCACUCUGUCACUAGUCACCCAUUCCCUCACUCUGU